rnacentral:rRNA from 1 species
AUUGAACGCUAGCGGGAUGCUUUACACAUGCAAGUCGAACGGCAGCGCGGACUUCGGUCUGGCGGCGAGUGGCGAACGGGUGAGUAAUGUAUCGGAACGUGCCCAGUAGCUGGGGAUAACUACGCGAAAGCGUAGCUAAUACCGCAUACGCUCUACGGGGGAAAGCAGGGGAUCGUAAGACCUUGCACUAUUGGAGCGGCCGAUAUCGGAUUAGCUAGUUGGUGAGGUAACGGCUCACCAAGGCGACGAUCCGUAGCUGGUUUGAGAGGACGACCAGCCACACUGGAACUGAGACACGGCCCAGACUCCUACGGGAGGCAGCAGUGGGGAAUUUUGGACAAUGGGGGCAACCCUGAUCCAGCCAUCCCGCGUGUGUGAUGAAGGCCUUCGGGUUGUAAAGCACUUUUGGCAGGAAAGAAACGUCGCGGGCUAAUACCCCGUGGAACUGACGGUACCUGCAGAAUAAGCACCGGCUAACUACGUG